rnacentral:lncRNA from 1 species
UGGAAAACGAGAGAGGCAGAGACAGAGAAAAUACAGACAGGGAUAAAACCAGAGAGAAGACCCACGUUGCAGGGCUCUUGAAACAGUGCUCUCUCUGAUGUACCCCAAAGCUGUUUUGUUUCUCUCUGGCAUCUCCGAGCCCCCCUCCUCAUACGCGCAGUGCGUGCUGAGGAAUCUCUGGUGUCGGCAACACAGAGGGAGAUACGAGAUCUGCCUUCAGGAGUAGUCUCUCAUGGAGCAGCAGAGGCUGCUGUUGAAAAUGUUACACCACAAGGAAGAAGGUGGUCAAUUCUGCCGGAGAGGCGCCGACCUCUAGAAAUUCAGAGGGCUCACAGGGAUUGAACUCAGGACCUUGUGCUUGCCAGGCAGAUGCCGUGCCACUGAGCUACAUCCCCGGCCCUAAUUCAUUGUUUUUAAUCAAAUAGUUAUUGGUCACUCCCAAUCGUGUGUUAGAUACUGUGGAAAGUUCUUAAGAGAUGGGAGGUACAUGAAAAUCAUAAUAAAUGUGUAUGACUACAGGGGCACCUAAAAGAGCAAAGGAGAGAUUCGUGAAGAAAAACCACUCAAGAUCAGCUAUGUAAACCAGGUGUGGUGGCAUAUGCCUAUUAUCCCAGCACUUGGGAGGCUGAGGCAGGAGGAUGCAUCGAGCUUGAGCCAGUCUGGGCUACAUAGUGUGUUCAAGGCCAGCCUGGACCACAUAGGGAGAGCCUCUCAAAAAAAAAAAAAAAAAGGCUCUGAGAGGACAGGCAGUAUUUCUAAAUGCAGAGAUAAUGUAAAUAAUUCCAGCCACAGGAACUGAUAUUUGCAAAGGUCAGAGGUGGUGUGGAGCCUGGGUGUGUGAUCAUGUCUGACUGCCACUGAGCUGAAGAGGGGUCAGAAGGGACAGCCGGGCUCAGGCCCAUUAGGAGGACUUGAGUGCCCAACCCAAAGGCUUCUGUGUCCACCUGAGUCAUCCAGAUUCGGCAAAUAAAAAUACAAGAUGUCCCAAGAAGGCUUGAAUUUGAAUACAUAAGCAAUCAUUUGUAAGCUUUUCUCCAUGCAAUGUUUGGGACUUUCUCAUAUUAAAAAUGUUUUAUUUUGUUUUCUGAAACUCAGACUUCACCCAUGUUUUACCUGGC